AAGUCGUAACAAGGUUUCCGUAGGUGAACCUGCGGAAGGAUCAUUAGUAAUUUAAGGUGACAGGCAGUUGCUUUUUGCCUCGAACGUUAGUUAGAGGCGUUAAGAGUAACUGGCUCAUGCAUUGCUUCAAAGGGGGCUCCCCUUUAGCGGUGCGUGGAAACAAAAAAAUCCACCAUUGUGAACUUGGAAACAAACGAUAAAACAAAGAGACUCUUUAUAUUGUAUCAACCCAACAUCUAUUAGAAUGUUAUAAACAAAGAAACAACUGUUAACGAUGGAUCCCUUGGCUCUUA
rnacentral:misc_RNA from 1 species